UUCUUCCGUAGUCUAUGGUAGUGCUUGAAUUGAUCACUGUCGAAACGAGAUUCGGGAAUCUCAAAGGCCCCGCCUAUAAAGUAUUCUGUAAAUAUUACUGAAACGGCUCAUUCGCGAUGUUUUUAUAAAAUAUAAGUUUUAGAUCGACAAGCAGUACAACAUUGCAAAAAUGGAUACAAAAGUGUUAUGUUUCUUCGCUUUAAUUUCUCAAGCGGCGGCUCUGCUGACGUCACCGCCUCGGAUAGUCAAGCAACCGACUGUGGAAGAACUGUUGUUCCAAGUGGCACAACCAGGAGAAGUUGACAAACCCUUCAUAAUAGAGUGUGAGGCUGAAGGAGAGCCGGCGCCUAAGUACAGGUGGAUUAAAAACGGAAAGUCAUUCGAAUAUACGAGUUACGACAAUCGAAUCUCACAGCAACCUGGCCGUGGUACCCUGGUGGUCAGCAGACCAAGAGAUGAAGACCUCGGGCAGUAUCAGUGUUUUGCAUACAACGAGUGGGGAACGGCUACAUCGAACUCCGUAUUUGUACGGAAAGCCGAGCUCAAUUCUUUCAAAGAUACAGAUGGGCCGCAAACGAUGAUCACAGCCCAAGAGGGGUUACCCUUUAAACUGACCUGUAACCCUCCCGAUGGUCACCCCAGCCCGAACGUAUACUGGAUGUUGCAAGGUGAACAAGGUCAGCUCAAAACCAUAAACAACUCCAGAAUGACUCUAGAUCCAGAAGGCAACCUCUGGUUCUCUAACGUCACGCGAUACGAUGCUAGCGUCGAUUAUGCGUACACCUGCGCAGCUAAAUCCGUCUUCAGAAACGAGUACAAACUAGGUAAUAAAGUAUAUCUUCAAGUGCAGCAGACGGGCAUAUCACCCACCCAGAACAAGCAUGAACCAGUCAGACAGUACACUACCAGGAGAGUUGAAAAGGCAUGGCGAGGCAAAAAAGUUGAACUCUACUGCAUUUAUGGCGGGACGCCACUGCCCCAAGUGGUAUGGAAGAAAGAUGGUCGAACAAUACUAUCGUCACAGCGAAUAACGCAAGAUAACUACGGCAAGACAUUAGUGAUAAAACGUGCUGGAUAUGAAGACCAAGGAACCUUCACGUGUGAGAUUAGCAACGGAGUUGGUCAAGCGCAGUCUUACUCUAUACAGCUUAAUGUUGAAGCCGCGCCAUUCUUCAUCGAAGAACCGCAGUUCCAAAACCUGGCUGAAGGUGAGACAGCAAUCAUCCACUGUAAGGCAGGCGGUACACCAGAGCCUUCGAUCACCUGGGUCCACAACGGAAAGCCUAUAGAGCAAGCGGAGCCCAACUCCAGACGUCAAGUGGCAUCAAAUUCGAUUCUCAUCACGGACUUGGUGAAGAAAGACACAGGCAACUACGGUUGUAACGCCACUAACUCAAACGGCUACGUGUACAAGGAUGUAUACAUUAAUGUUCAAUCCAUACCACCGGAGAUCAAGGAAGGUCCAGAGAACUUGACCAAAGUAGAUGGUUCAGAAGCGGUGCUGAAGUGCCGUGUGUUUGGAGCUCCCAAACCCAUUGUCAGGUGGAUGCGAGAUGACGUCGAUGUUACUGGUGGAAAAUACAACAUAACAGCGGAAGGUGAUUUGGUGAUCGCUGACGUAUCGUAUACAGAUGUGGGCACCUACCAGUGUUACGCUAAGAACAAGUUUGGUGAAAAAUCAGCCUUUGGUUCCUUAUCUGUCAAGAAGCACACGGUAAUAACGGACAAACCUGAACCGUAUGAAGUUGCAGCGGGUGCUUCAGCUACAUUCAGGUGUAAUGCGAAUGCAGACGAUUCCCUAAAACUAGAAAUUAUAUGGCUCAAUGACGGACAGCCAAUAGACUUUGACAACCAGCCGCGGUUUAGAAUGACAAAUGACUACUCGCUGCUAAUAUCCGACACUACGGAGCUCGAUUCCGGAGAAUAUACAUGUAUUGCGAGAACAGCUAUAGAUGAAGCGAGGGCUCAGGCUACUUUAACUGUUCAAGACAAACCCAAUCCGCCAGCCUUGGAAGGCAUCGAAUGUCACGAGAAAGUCGCAACCAUACGCUGGCAUUCAAUGGGUGACAAUCGGGCCCCUAUUCUCCGUUACUCGAUACAAUAUAACACCUCCUUCACACCCGAUACAUGGCUUUCGGCGUCCGAUUCUGUUCCCGGGUUAGAUACGUCCUGGACUGCGGAACUGAGCCCCUGGGCAAACUAUACAUUCCGAGUCAUAGCUUUGAAUAAGAUUGGACCGUCUACGCCGUCGAAACACUCUGAUGCCUGUACCACACAGCCGGAUGUACCGUACAAGAACCCUGAUAAUGUUGAGGGUAAAGGACGGGAUCCUACUAAUAUGGUCAUAUCUUGGUCGAAAAUGCCUCAAAUCGAGCACAACGGUCCCGGUUUCUACUACCAAGUGUCAUGGCGUCGUAACAUCAGUGGAACGCCUUGGAGCGAACAGCAAAUACGAGAUUGGACUCAGUCUGAAUAUAUUGUACUUAACACGCCAACAUUCCAGCCUUAUAAAAUUAAGGUGAUAGCUGUUAACUCAAAAGGAACAUCAAACGUGGCUCCGGUGGAAGUAAUCGGCUGGUCUGGCGAGGACACGCCCCUACAAUCUCCCGCUAACUUCUCUCUAGUGCAGGUCACUACUGGAACUACUGCAUUGUUAAGCUGGAAUCCAGUAUUAGCUGAAACUGUACGCGGACACUUCAAGGGGUACAAGAUUCAGACUUGGGUUGACGGUGAAGAAGACAGGUUAAAAGAAGUGCUGGUGAAGUCUGAUGCGUCCAGUGCCCUGGUAUCCGUGUUCAAACCGUUCAAGAAAAACAACGCACGAAUUCUCGUCUACAAUGGACGCUUCAAUGGACCGCCUAGCGAAAUCCUCUCCUUCGUCACCCCAGAGGGAAAACCAGGAACGGUCAAGUCCUUCGAAGCCUACCCCAUCGGUUCCUCAGCUAUGCUCCUCAAGUGGGACAAACCCAUGGAUGAAAACGGAAUUUUAACCGGCUACAAAAUUUACUACCAAAAAGUCACCGGCACCUCUCUAGGACCGCUUCAAGAGAGAAAGAAGGAAAUCGAUCCCAAACUGGAUCGUGCCAAACUAGCUGGCCUAGAACCUAACACGAAGUACCGUAUUGAAAUACGGGCUAAGACCAAGGCUGGGGAAGGAGACAAAUACUAUGUGGAACAGACCACAAAGGCGAUGAUGAAUGCCGUUCCGGAUAUACCCUUGUUCGAAGCGAGUACCCUCCCCGCUAAAGAGGGGUCAGCUCAUAUUCUGGUUCGCUGGUUGCCUUCCUUAGACGGGCACGCGGGAAGCCAUUUUAUAGCCUGGUAUAGGCUCAAGGGUCAUCCUAACUGGUUGAGAAGUAAUGAAAUAACUGAAGACGAUUAUGUCGUGCUAACUGGUCUUGAGCCUGGACAAGUGUAUGAGGUGAAGGUGACAGCUCAUGACGGUGAAUACUUUAGCACCAGUGAAGUAAUGGAUGUUGAUACGACAACCGGUAAGUUAUACCCAGUAAUAAUGCGGGAAGAGGCGAUGGCCACGGCUGGCUGGUUCAUCGGGGUGAUGGUGGCGUUGGCCUUCUUAGUGCUCGUGCUCGUAGCGGUGUGCGUUGCGCGUCGUAACCGAGGCGGGAAGUACGACGUGCACGAUCGCGAACUCGCUCACGGGCGGGCGGAUUAUCCGGACGCCGCUUUCCACGAAUAUAAUCAUCCAUUGGACAGCAAGUCCCGACACUCUAUGAGUAGUGGUCCUAAGCCCGGUGUCGAGAGCGACACCGAUUCGAUGGCCGAGUAUGGCGAGGGAGAAACGGCUGGUAUGAACGAAGACGGUUCAUUCAUCGGUCAGUACGGUAGAAAGAGGCGCCCCCCUGCGGCUUCUCACCAAGACUCCGCUUCGCAGGCCUUCGCCACACUCGUCUAGGCCCAUUAUCCCUUUGACUCCUUUCACUUCACUAUCCCUGUGGCCUGUUUAACCUAUCCCUGUUUACCACUCAUGACAUAACCCAGAUCUGAAUACAAAAUCACAGCAUCAAAUGCAAAUAAUUAAGGCCCAAGGCUUUCCAUUCCAUAUUGGAAUACAAAAAACAAAUUGUUCUCUAAAGAUCGCCCGCCGAAAUUCUACUGUCCAUUUCUUUAUUGGUUGUGUAUGAAUCUCGAAUGAUAAUCUAAUAAAAUAUGGCAUGCUAUUUAUAGGAUUAUCAUAUUUUAUUAAAUUAUCUCACUCGUUAUAGGGCGUAGUCUUUCAACUAUUUAAAAAAUAGUUCUCUAAGACUCAACGCGUCCUUUAUGUUUAAUUUAAUGCUACUUAGAUUAUUAUUAAGUACACAUUUAAAUGUAGUUUGUAAAAAAGAUUUUACGUAUAUUUUGAGUGAGCAGUGAAUGUUUUUUUAUUAUUUUUAUAGCACGAGCUUGUGUUGAUUUUAUGGUUUUGCAUUUAUUAUUAGAAUAGAUAGAUAGACGUGUCCAGUUUUCCGUCCUUUUCCCUUUCUCCCCUCGCCGGCGCACGAGCAGCUAUUUCCUUUAUUUAUUGUUUUGUGAGGUCGUUUCACGGAGGACGGUUCGUUCAUCGGUCAGUACGUGCCUGGCGCACGAGUUCUGCCUCCACCUCCCGCGCCGCAAACAGCUCCAGCGCAACAGCCGCCCACUUACGUCUAAUACUGUUAAUUUCACAAAUCACUGUUAUUUUUCACAGUUCCUCAGUAUGGCCUGCUCUUCACACCAUAAUUUUUUACCGAGCAACGUAUAACCCGUGAUAGCUUAGAAGCGAAAUCACUGAUAUUUUCGUCUGGUUAUAACCUGCUAUUUAUCGUAACAAACGUAAAUAGAAAUCGCUGUUAUUUUUAAUAGCUUUUCAUAUCUGUAUGACCAUCGUUGGCUAUUGAAUAAGAUUGAUGACUAUGUGAUAGUGAAAAUAACAGUGAUUUUGUAACCAAUGGAAUUAAUAUUGUUCCUAAACAGUCACAAUUUAUUCAUGCCAUUUUUCGUUAAAGCGUUCAAGUAUUCCGUAACUAUAUAUCUUUUUAAAUUUACAAAUAUUAAUGUGAAAAAUAUCAACUUCAGAAUACACAGCAUUAUAAUAUUUGCACAUUCUGUGGUGUAAAGUACCGGAAAGUACCAAAAAUACUUUUUUUGCAUUAAAAAUAAUGUUAUUAAUAAUCAUUUACGCGUGAUUCGAUUUCCGUAUCGCUUGGACGAGACUCAAAAUUCGUUACUUAAUACUUGAACGCUUCCUAAUAAUAUAAUUAAAAUUGUGUAGCUAAUAUUAUUUAAAAUUACAUUUUAGUUAAAAUUUAUUGACAUGGGCCUUCGAGUAAUCCGGCUCUGUUUACUGCAGCUUCAAUAGUAAAAUUUAGAAACCGACAUAGAUUUGUUUUAUGAGACUGAUUUUAAGUAAAAAUAUAAAAAAUUGUUUCCUCUGAGUCCCUGGCGUUUCAUACAAUUAAAUGUAGGUUAAGAUCUGGCUCGAUAUCAAUUAAAUAGGAUGGUAAAGCGAAAAAUAAAGUAUCCGGUAGCGAAGCGAUGGUCGAAUGAAGUUUUGGAAUAUAUCAGUGAUUUAAGUGACUACAUUAUCAUCCACUAUUUAUUCUUAAAAUUAAAAUCGCCGUCGCUUCGCUACAGGCUGAAAAAGCUAUUUUUGUGACAUGAUUAAGAAUGUAAAUUUUAGCUCUGGGUGCCGGCGGUCAGAUUUGCUUCGAGACUUCGAGUCAAUUUAUCGUAAAAUCAACGAAUUAUUUUUAUAUCAAAAUCAUAUCGGAUGGACCAUUACACGCAGAUUAUUUUGUAUCGCGCUUUUAAAUUAUAUUCUAUACUCGCGUAGCAAAGAUAUAUGCAUCUAAAUACUAAACAUAAUUGAAGAUAGCGCCAUCUAGCUGUGAAAUGAUACUGAAUAGGAAAUUGUGACUUUUUCACAAUGUGAUAUGUGUGGGUUCUUUGUACACCAAAGGGAGCUUGACAAAUUUUUGCAUUUUUUUAACAAUAGCGCGUUUAUUUUUAAACUUUUCCAAAUGUACCUUUUUUUGUUGGUAUCCUCAAAUACUGGUCUUAUUUGAAGGUUAAAUUUGAUGUAAAAAUCCCACACUAGUCACUUAGUGACAUUCCUCGAACUUUCUUUUUGUGCCUCUUCAAUUACUCUUAUGAUAAUCAACAAUAUUUUUAUAAACGUGACAAAAAACAACGUUCAAACAUCGAAAGAUCUAUUUAAAAUAUAUUUUUGUAUGAAAAUACAGAAUAUAAGAAAGCAAAUUUUGACCGCCGGCCGAUGUUGGUGCUUUGCGGAAGAUGGCGUUCUGUCGCUCUUGUGAUUGUACGUAGUGUAAGACGUAUGCGCACAUAGGCCAUGACACAAUAAUAUGAGGUAUGAAUUAUAUCGCAUUGCGGGUUUUAACCGCACUGCGGAUUUUAACCGCACUUAUGUUCUUAGGAAACAAAGUGUAUAAGUUCUCGAUCGUUUAAUAGAAACACCCAAAUAUUUGAUCAUCAAUAAUGCAGUUUCCUAGUUUGUUGAAUUGUAAGCAGUAAUUACUAUUGUCAAGUUAAUAAACGUCAUAUUUAUGUGUCAUAGUUAAGACGCGGUCAAUUGUGUAGAGCUAGCUUGAUGGCCCGAAGCGUUCCCAAAGUGUACUUAGUUUGUGUAUAGGAACGCAUCGUAAAUGAUAUUUAAAUGAAUCUCAACGGUUUAUUGGAUCUAUGCUCUCUAUAUUUUUACAGAUGCCAUAACAUUUGGUGGAAAUGAUCUAUUAGCUAUGUAAUUUAGGCUUUUUGUAUUAACUAUUUCGUAUCGACUUCGUGAAGUUUGCACCUCACAUAUUAACCAGUUGAUGUUUCAAUUUAUCCACGAGACAAUUGCGGUUACAGAUAAAUAUUUAAUACAUUCUUCGAUUAUCUAGACUUAGGAUGAAUAAUUUCGGGUUUCUAAUAUCUUAAAAGCUUUUCGUCAUUGAAAUGGAAAGCUAAUUUGCCUCUGCGUUAUCUCGUGGGACAAUUGUAUGUGCUAGUUGUAAGGAUUCGUGUUAACUAAUGUUAGGCAGCUAACGCGUUCGCUUCGCAUCCCUUAUUUAUUAUACUAUGCCUUUUCAUGUUAUAUCGAUAGAGGAAAAACCAAGGCGAACACUCAAAUGUUACCUGUGCAUGUUGGUACUUAAUAUAAUGAGGUAAAGCUAACAUUCUUGGCUUUUUGUCUAUCAAUGUAAGUAUUUAUUUAUCAACGCCUGAAAGGUGUCGGGUCCUAAUACAUUCCAAGGUAUGACCAUGUUGAUUUUAUUUGUUCCGUCGGUCUGUUUAUAAAACUUAGACUGACGCUGCGCUGGCGUUCAUAAACAAAACAAAAACAAAACAACUGCAUGUAUAUUCGUUUAAUUAAAAACUCAUGUUUAAGCAUUUUAUUUCGAUGAUGUUUCGAUACUUUUCUGCAAUUUUGUGCAGCGAGGAACAUUGUGAUUAUUUGUUUUUAAGUUUAAAAAAUCCAGGAUUUCUUUAAUUAAAAAUGUCAUACUUAACUAAGCAAUGAUUAUGAACUGUCAGCGGUAAUUUCAAAUUGUACAUUGUUUGCGAACACCACGUUCUCUUUUAGAGCUUUUGUAACCAUUCGUACCUUAUAUUCAUUAUAUUUGAUGGCACUGUUACUGUAGCCCCUUUGAGUUGUUUGUUAAGGAGUCUUUAUCACGUCUAUUGUCUAGUAAGAAUUUAAUAUAUAAUUACGGAUAUUUCACACGAUCGUUUGGAAAAUCCGCCAGUUUAAUAUUUAAUGUAGGGACGCGUCUUUGCUUUUUAUAACCACGUUGAUUCGAAUUUGUUAGCAUUCAAAAUGAAGUUGUUGACCACAAAAUUACGGUGAUACUCAUCACUGCCUUCCCCUGAGAUGUUUAUGUAUGUGUUCAUUUAUCUAUCUAGUACCCGUUAGUCGACACUUGCCUUAACUAUUAAUAAGUAGUCCCCUGUACUCUUAGCGUCAAUUGAUCGCCGUGUCUUUAGUACGGCAAUUAGAUUCGCAGAAGUCUACUUUAAGUCUAUUUUCUACGUACAUGCGUACGUACGUACAUACAUGCGUGUACGUGAUUUACGAACAUGCGUGACGCUAAGUGACAGGUGACGUAAGAUAUGCACAAUAAUGCAUUUAUGACGUCACAAGUGCUGUCGUAUACAGUAUAUUAACUGGCAAGUGUAUAUAUGUAGAUCUGAUGUUGCAAUGUAUCUAAUAGUUGAGAUUUUGAUGUCAUAGUUAAUUACUGUUAAGUAAUAUGUAAUAUGGUAGUGCGGUGAAAUAGGCGCUUCUUUUUAAAUGUAACAGCACUGACUUAAAGUACUCGGCAAUUAAAAGGAAGCGAAUAUGUUUAUGUCGAAAUUAUACAGUUUGAAAUAGUUUGCAUUUAUAUGUAACAUGAUUGCUCUUGUGGUACGCGAGAUUCUGUUCACGAAUUAAACAUAAUUUACUAUUUGUUUCGCAUUAAGUGACGGUAAUUUAUUGUAACUAUGAUGGAUAUUUUUUUAUGUUGCAUAGAAAAUAAAUUUUAAGAAAUUA